GGAGGAUGCAAGCGUUAUCCGGAUUUAUUGGGGUUUAAAGGGUACGUAGGCGGAAAAUUAAGUCAGUAGUGAAAUCCUGCAGCUUAACUGUAGAACUGUUAUUGAUACUGGUUUUCUUGAAUAUAGUUGAGGUAGGCGGAAUGUGUAAUGUAGCGGUGAAAUGCUUAGAUAUUACACAGAACACCGAUUGCGAAGGCAGCUUACUAAGCUAUGAUUGACGCUGAGGUACGAAAGCGUGGGGAGCGAACAGGAUUAGAUACCCUGGUAGUCCACGCCGUAAACGAUGAUCACUCGUUGUUGGCAAUACAUCGUCAGCGACUGAGCGAAAGCAUUAAGUGAUCCACCUGGGGAGUACGAUCGCAAAGAUUG
rnacentral:rRNA from 1 species